rnacentral:rRNA from 1 species
AUUAAUUUAUAAUAAAAGAGAAUUGACUGAGUGGUUUAAAGUGGUAAGCUUGAAACUUAUUUGAUCCAUGAGAUCACAUCCGUUCGAAUCGGAUAUUCUCUGAAUAAAUUCGCAGGUUAGAGCCAGGUGGUUAGGCGUCUCAAUUGGGAUGAGAAAUUGUUAUGUUCGAAUCAUAAUAACCUGAAAAAAUAUAAAUAAUUAAAUAUGUAAGAUAUUAUUUUUGAUAAAACUAAUAUCAAAAUAAGUAUAUAAAGAGACUAUUACGGAUAUCUGGCUAUAUAUUAAAGAUAGAUAUGUUAAAUUAAUAUCUAAUAUAAAUCUAAUAAUAAACAAAGUGAAUUGAAAUAUCUUAAUAACUUUAGGAAAAAAAAUCAAACGAGAUUUUAUUAUUAGUGUAAACUAAUAUAAAAAAGCUUACAAGUAAAAUGGAAAAUAUCUGUUUGAAUAAAGGGGAACCUUCCUCUAAAGCUAAAUAUAAUAUAUAAGCGAUAGCGAAUAGUACCGUGAGGUAUAGAUAGAAAUAGUAGUUUUAUAAGCAGCUCAAAAAAAAAUUUAAAUAAAUAAUACGAGCGGACCUUUUGCAUAAUGGGUCAGCAAGUUAAACUUAGAUGCAAGCAAAUAAAAAAUAUUUGCCUAGAUAAACCAAUUAUGAAAAAAUGAUAAGUAUCUAAAUUUAGACCCGAAGGCUAGUGAUCUUACCAUGAUCAGGCUUUAGGCCGAACGGGUUAUCGUUGUAAAGAUAUCCGAUGAAUUGUGGUAAGUUGGUGAAAGACAAAACUGACUAGUAUAGCUGGUUUUCCGCGAAACCUAUGUGAGUAGGUAAUUUAAUUAACAUCUUAGCAGGUACAGAACUAGGAUCUCGGACAAUAUGUAAAUUUUGUACACAUCGGGGGAUCGUGAUGAUUUUAUCGGAGAGUAUUUGCACUCGAAAGGGCAAAGAUGAAUAUUGAAUAAUCGGACAUAGUACGAUAAGGUUGUAUGUCUAAAGGGAAACAGCCCUGAACAAGAGUUAUAAGGUUCCAAAAUUAUUAUUGAGUGAAAUUAAGGAUGUACUUAUCAAAUACAACCAGGAAAUAGGCUUAGAAGCGGCCAUUUUUUGAAGAUCUCGUAACAGAGCACUGGUUAAUAAAAAAAAUUUUUUUUUUAGAUAGAUAUUUAUACCGAAAAUUUAACGGAUCUAAAUAAUAUACCGAAACCUUGUUCGUAUAUAUUAAUAUAUAAUAUAAUUUAUUAAAUAAAAAAUAUAUAUAUAUAUAUAUGAGGUAGCGGAACAUUGGAUAAAUAUUAGAUUUAUUCUUUUUUAAGAUAAAAAAUUAUAUAAGAAUCCAAGAGAGAAUGCUGGCAUGAGUAACGAAAAAGGAUUUAACAUCCUCGCCUUAAGCUUAUGGUAUUUUAUUUAAAUUUCGGUGUCUAAGUAGGAGGUAAAAUAAGUAAAACAAGAAAUUGUUGAAAAAAAACUUCUCCAAAUGGAUUUAAUUACGAUGAUAUAAAUAGAUUAGAGAAAAAACCUUUAUAAAGUGUUAAAGGUUCUGGAAACUAAAUCUAAUCAAAUAAGUUAUCUGAAUCCUCCUAGAUGAGGACCAUAUUCAGAUAAUAAACCGUACCUAAAUACUAACACAAGUAAGCAAGUAGAGUAUACAAAGGCGUUUGAGUGAACAAUCAUUAAGGAACUCGGCAAAUUGACUCCGUAACUUCGGGAUAAGGAGGGCCGUUAUUACAGAAAUUUUUUUUUCUGUUAAAUAAGAGGAAACAUAAAAUAAUGUUGUACGACUGUUUAAUUAAAACAAAUCACUCUGCAAAGAUUAAAAAUCAAAGUAUUGAGUGUGAUGUCUGCCCAAUGUCGGUUGUAUAACUAAGAUACUUAAUUUAAAAGGUUAGGUUUUGAAGGACACCCCGAUCAAUGGCGGCCUUAUCUAUAAGGGUCCUAAGGUAGCGGAAUACCCUGGCCGUUAAAUGCGGUCUUGCAUGAAUGACUUAACGAUACAACAGCUGUCUCGAUGAUUGGCUCAGUGAAAUUGGAAUAGCAGUGCAGAUACUGCUUAACUCUAGGUAGACGAGAAGACCCUAUGCAGCUUUACUGUUACCUUUUAUGAAUAUAGUAAGUCAAUUGUGAGUGUAUAAGGUAAUUGUUAGGUAAAAUUGAAACACCUUUAUUUAAACUAUUAUAUUCUUUAUGACUGGAAGACAGUUUAUGCGGGGCACAGAUCCCAUAAAAAGUACCUGGGUAUAUCCAAAGUUAAUAAUGUAAGUUUGUAAAUUUUAAUUUACAAUAAUAAUAUAUUUAUAUUUAUAAAUUAUUAUUAUUUAGUUUGUUAUUAAUUAUAUUUUAUAUUUAUUCAGUUAUUAUAGUAUUAAAUUCGAAUUUUAUAAAUUUAAGUAAGAUUUUAACUAUGUGGUAAAUAGAUGUAUAUCAAAUAUUAAUAAAUUUAAUUUUAUUGGUAUUUUAUUUAUAUUAAUAUUGUAUAUAUAAAUCCUUAUUAAUAUGAUAAUUAUUUAUACUUUAAAAGUUUAAUGGCUAAAUCUUGCUUUACUGUUUGACUUACAAGUCUAUCAGUCGCGUAAGCGGGGCAUAUGAUCACAAGAUGCAGAAAGGAAAGGUCUUGGAUUAAAGAAAAAGUUACGCUAGGGAUUUUUGUUAGUCCCCCUGUAUUUUAAAAUAUUGGUAAUAAUUUGGGUAAAUUUCAAAAACAACUUAUAUUUAAGAGUAUUUGAAGCGAAACUUAUUUUAGCAUAUUUAUAUUUUAUAUAAAUUAAAUAAGAACGUUCAACGACUAAAAGGUGAAUAGUGCUAUUAAUAAUCCUUUUAUUUAAUCCCAACAUCUUUAUUAGUUAUAGAAUAAUAAAA